rnacentral:rRNA from 1 species
GAUGAACGCUGGCGGCGUGCCUAAUACAUGCAAGUAGAACGCUGAAGGAAGGAGCUUGCUCUUUCCGGAUGAGUUGCGAACGGGUGAGUAACGCGUAGGUAACCUGCCUGGUAGCGGGGGAUAAAUAUUGGAAACGAUAGCUAAUACCGCAUAACAGUAGAUGUUGCAUGAUAUCUACUUAAAAGGUGCAAUUGCACCACUACCAGAUGGACCCGCGUUGUAUUAGCUAGUUGGUGUGGUAACGGCUCACCAAGGCGACGAUACAUAACCGACCUGAGAGGGGGAUCGGCCAGAAUGGGACUGAGACACGGCCCAGACUCCUACGGGAGGCAGCAGUAGGGAAUCUGCGGCAAUGGACGGAAGUCUGACCGAGCAACGCCGCGUGAGUGAAGAAGGGUUUCGGAUCGUAAAGCUCUGUUGUAAGAGAAGAACGAGUGUGAGAGUGGAAAGUUCACACUGUGACGGUAUCUUACCAGAAAGGGACGGCUAACUACGUG